UAUAAAAUGUCUUGCAAAAUCGCAGUAUGAUUCAGUCAUCUCGGCAUAGUGCUGUUAGAAAGUGUUUUCUUAUCAAUUUGUGGAAGAAGUGAACCAGAAGAUUCUCCAAAAUGAAAUUCCUGAUCAUGACCAUCUGCCUGUUCGUUCUGGCUUUCGCCCUGGUGUCUGCCGCUACCAACGAUGAAACCAUCCUGGGAGGUCAUGGUGCCGAUGAGGUCGUCAACCCACAGGAUCCCUCGGAAAUCCUCCUGCUGAAGAAGAAGCUUCUGCUGAAGAAACUGCUGUUCCUGGGUUAAGCCGAUGCUUUUCGAUGCGUUACCCGGACCGUGUGCCAUUCCUAGGUUAAUUGAAAUACUCUAUAAGCCGUAUAGAUAUAUUAGGCAAAAACAGAAUCCUGUUUCCACCACACUAAUUUAAUCACAAAUCUGCCCAGUCAUGACAAUAGCCAAUAUGUUCAGAAUGAUCCUCAAUAAACGAAAUGCUUUGUACGAUAAGUAGGAAA